rfam:Salmo salar isolate Sally breed double haploid chromosome ssa12, whole genome shotgun sequence.
UGUAUUCACUACUGUAAGUUGCUAUGGAUAAAAGCGUCUGCUAAAUGACUAAAA